CCCGCGCGCGCGCUCUGGAGACUCCUGCGGUCUCCCUAGCUGUUUCUUGAAGCUCUGCAUAAGCCUCGCCCGCGGCCGCCGGGUUGCGUCCGCACUUCUGCGCGCUGGCCCCUCCCUUGCUCCUCUCCCUAGCAGUCUCCAGGGUUUUACCGGGAGGACCUAGGCAACGGCCUGAGACUCCGAGGCUUGUGAUGAUGGAGCUGUGGCUGGAUUUUGGGUCUGAGCAUACUACUCUCGGUAUUUGGAGACCUCCGUAAGAACCUAUGAUAAUAUCCAUUGAAAAUGACUCUAUGUUGAAGAUGCCUGGACUAACCUACUGAAGAUACGUGGUUUUACCAACAGCCAGCACCAAUAGGAAGAUAUGAAUGAAGCCAUCUGAGACCAGCCAUCUGGCAGCCAAACUGCCAACUGACUGCAAAUGCAUGAAUGAUCCCACUGACACCACGUAGAGCACAAAUGAGUUGCCUCCACUGAGCCCAGCCCAAAUUGUUAUCCUAUAAAAUCAUAAAAACAUAAACAGUUGUUUUAAGUCACUAAGUUUUGGAUAGUUUGUUAUACAACAAAAGCUAGCUGAAACAAAUGUAUUAGCUAGAGCAGCUGUGAAUGGCACUAUUUGCUUAGUUGAUUGGCUGAAAUUUGGACUCACUGGUAGGUUACAUUUAAUGGUGUUGAGUUGCCAGAAUUUCUCUGGAAUAAUGUAUAGGAAGGAUUCUAAUGGCCUAAGCCAUUAGAAUCUCUAAGGAGAUAGAAAUAAAGGAGUGAUUUAUUAUAUGUAACUGUGCCUCUUCCCUCACCACACUUGGUCCUGAAAGAGCCUAAGGAAUAGUUUCUUCUCUAAAGCAUUGAAAAAUGCUUUAAUGG
rnacentral:lncRNA from 10 species